CCUACGGGUGGCAGCAGUGGGGAAUAUUGGACAAUGGGCGAAAGCCUGAUCCAGCCAUGCCGCGUGUGUGAAGAAGGCCUUCGGGUUGUAAAGCACUUUCAGUGGGGAAGAAAGCCUUGGGGCUAAUACCCUCGAGGAAGGACAUCACCCACAGAAGAAGCACCGGCUAACUCCGUGCCAGCAGCCGCGGUAAUACGGAGGGUGCGAGCGUUAAUCGGAAUUACUGGGCGUAAAGCGCGCGUAGGCGGUCUGAUAAGCCGGUUGUGAAAGCCCGGGCUCAACCUGGGAACGGCAUCCGGAACUGGCAGGAUAGAGUGCAGGAGAGGAAGGGAGGAUUCCCGGUGUAGCGGGGAAAUGCGUAGAGAUCGGGAGGAAUACCAGUGGCGAAGGCGGCCUUCUGGACUGACACUGACGCUGAGGUGCGAAAGCGUGGGUAGCAAACAGGAUUAGAUACCCCAGUAGUUC
rnacentral:rRNA from 1 species